rnacentral:rRNA from 1 species
AUACGGAGGAUCCGAGCGUUAUCCGGAUUUAUUGGGUUUAAAGGGUGCGCAGGCGGGAGAUUAAGUCGGCGGUGAAAUUUUGCAGCUCGACUGUAAAAGUGCCUUCGAUACUGGAUUCCUUGAGUGUGGAUGAAGUAGGGGGAAUUUGUGGUGUAGCGGUGAAAUUCUUAGAUAUCACGAGGAACUCCGAUUGCGCAGGCAGCUUACUAAACCACUACUGACAAUCAGGCACGAAGGCGUGGGGAUCAAACAGGAUUAGAUUCCCUGGUAGUCCACGCAGUAAACGAUGAUUACUGGCUGUUUGCGAUACAAUGUAAGCGGCCGAGCGAAAGCGUUAAGUAAUCCACCUGGGGAGUACGUUCGCAAGAAUGAAACUCAAAUGAAUUGACGGGG